rnacentral:lncRNA from 1 species
CUUGUUUGCUUGCUUGAUGUUGGCAUUGUUCUUGAGAUCAGCUCUAACCCGAACUUGGCUUUAAUGAACUUAAUUUCUCUUGCACAUGGGCAUUUGCAUACUUGAUCAUGGAUCUCAUACACAUUUGAGUUAUCUUAUUCCUUUAUAUACCAAUCUUUGUUAACCCAAAUGGCAUUCCAUACCUUACAACCCUAGCCAUUCUUUGAGACCAAACAUUUAAUUGCAUGAGUGAGGCCUCUUUUGAUAGUUUGUCAUGUGCAAAAUAUUGAGAGUUUUGGAGGUGACAUAAGUUUAUUCUCAUCUCUUGCUAGCACAAUGAGUUAGCAUUUGGGGAUGGUGAGAGGGGUUUGUUUGUUCUAAACUUCAAUAUCUUGGGUUUGGGGAGCAAAAAAGAUGAGAGAGAAGUAUAAAUAGAAAAGAAAACUCUAGGGAUAAAAAAAAUAUGAAGCUCUUGGUUUUGUAACAGAACUUUCCCCCUAAUAAUAAAAAAAAAAAAAAAAAAAAAAAAAAUCAAAGAGAAGUUGGGGAAGGGAAUGAAAAAGAGUU